GUGCGAUCUCCAUGCAGCUCCAGGUCCAGCACCCGGCUCUCCAGCCGAAGGAUCUGUGGGACAACUGGCAUGAGCGGGUGCACCUGCCUGCAGGCCACCUGGGGGCACGUGUCCUGGGCCUGCACCCCCCUGUCCCCCGUGCACUGAGGCUGGUUCACAUGGCUGCUCACCUCACUCUUCAGCUGGAAGAUUUCAGCCUCGUGCUGCUCCUGUAGGUGGUGGGUUGUGAUCUGAAUGUCGACCAGCUCCUUGGAGAUCUGUGGGUGGCCAGGUGAGAGGUGGACUCUGUUGGGCCCUGCUGGCACCCUCCCUCCUCAAAGCACCCUGGGGCCCCAGACCCACCUGCAGCUGCUGCUCCUUAUUGAGCGCUAGAUCUGGUGGGACCUCUGCUUCCAAGCUGGUGGCCCACACUGCGGUGCCCCCAGGAGCUCCUGGCAGCCAGUCCUUGGCUCGCAGCACAACCUGGGGAGGCACCGCCACCCAUUCCCCAGUUGGGUCCCAGGCUGGGCUGUGGCCCCACUCUCAUGCACUCAUCAGCCCCUCCUCCCUGCCUGGCUGAGCUGCAAAAGUCCCUCUCCUGGCUGAAAUUAGACCCAGGGUGCAGGAACCUGCACCCUCCUGGCCUCUGGGGGAACGGGCAGACUUCAACCACGUGGCAGGAGCGGCGAGUCCCAGAGGACUCACAUUCUCCACCCGCCAAGGGGGAGGUCCAGGCCUGGGGCCUGUGGUGGCUAAGUGCUCCAUAGGCGAGGGGACCCUGGCCAGCUCCGAGUCUGGUGCCGCUUCCACGCCUGGCCUCCCUAUGGCUGCUGCUGCCACAAGCACUGCUGCGUGCGUUGCCAAGGCCUCUGUUGGUCCCAGGUGACUCCCAGGGCACCGCCCACAGGGGCCGGCCAGACCGGUGGUUGCGGAGGAGGGAGAACAGCUCUUCCUCUCCGUGCCUCCGUUUCCCCAUUUGGGGAAUGCGGCCCAGCGCCCCCUGCACAUACCCUGUGCAGAUGGAACCAGUGCUGGCCAAGCCCCGGGACGGGGAGGUAUAUCUCUGCACCUCAGGCCUGAGAAGGGGGGAGCGGACGUCCCCAUCAGGGGCCGGAGAACUCGGAAACGACUGGCUCAGCCGGGGCGUCG